AGCGUACACGGUGGAUGCCCUGGCAGUCAGAGGCGAUGAAGGACGUGCUAAUCUGCGAAAAGCGUCGGUAAGGUGAUAUGAACCGUUAUAGCCGGCGAUGUCCGAAUGGGGAAACCCAGUGCAAUUCGUUGCACUAUCGUUAACUGAAUACAUAGGUUAACGAGGCGAACCGGGGGAACUGAAACAUCUAAGUACCCCGAGGAAAAGAAAUCAACCGAGAUUCCCCCAGUAGCGGCGAGCGAACGGGGAGCAGCCCGGAGUCUGAAUCAGCUUGUGUGUUAGUGGAAGCGUCUGGAAAGUCGCAGGGUACAGGGUGAUACUCCCGUACACUAAAACACACAGGUUGUGAACUCGAAGAGUAGGGCGGGACACGUGGUAUCCUGUCUGAAUAUGGGGGGACCAUCCUCCAAGGCUAAAUACUCCUGACUGACCGAUAGUGAACCAGUACCGUGAGGGAAAGGCGAAAAGAACCCCGGCGAGGGGAGUGAAAAAGAACCUGAAACCGUGUACGUACAAGCAGUAGGAGCCCACUAGUUGGGUGACUGCGUACCUUUUGUAUAAUGGGUCAGCGACUUAUAUUCUGUAGCAAGGUUAACCGUAUAGGGGAGCCGCAGGGAAACCGAGUCUUAACUGGGCGUUAAGUUGCAGGGUAUAGACCCGAAACCCGGUGAUCUAGCCAUGGGCAGGUUGAAGGUUGGGUAACACUAACUGGAGGACCGAACCGACUAAUGUUGAAAAAUUAGCGGAUGACUUGUGGCUGGGGGUGAAAGGCCAAUCAAACCGGGAGAUAGCUGGUUCUCCCCGAAAGCUAUUUAGGUAGCGCCUCGUGAAUUCAUCUUCGGGGGUAGAGCACUGUUUCGGCUAGGGGGUCAUCCCGACUUACCAACCCGAUGCAAACUACGAAUACCGAAGAAUGUUAUCACGGGAGACACACGGCGGGUGCUAACGUCCGUCGUGAAGAGGGAAACAACCCAGACCGCCAGCUAAGGUCCCAAAGUCAUGGUUAAGUGGGAAACGAUGUGGGAAGGCCCAGACAGCCAGGAUGUUGGCUUAGAAGCAGCCAUCAUUUAAAGAAAGCGUAAUAGCUCACUGGUCGAGUCGGCCUGCGCGGAAGAUGUAACGGGGCUAAACCAUGCACCGAAGCUGCGGCAGCGACACUAUGUGUUGUUGGGUAGGGGAGCGUUCUGUAAGCCGUUGAAGGUGGCCUGUGAGGGUUGCUGGAGGUAUCAGAAGUGCGAAUGCUGACAUAAGUAACGAUAAUGCGGGUGAAAAACCCGCACGCCGGAAGACCAAGGGUUCCUGUCCAACGUUAAUCGGGGCAGGGUGAGUCGACCCCUAAGGCGAGGCCGAAAGGCGUAGUCGAUGGGAAACAGGUUAAUAUUCCUGUACUCGGUGUUACUGCGAAGGGGGGACGGAGAAGGCUAUGUUGGCCGGGCGACGGUUGUCCCGGUUUAAGCAUGUAGGCGGAUGUUCCAGGUAAAUCCGGAACGUYRYUAACGCUGAGGUGUGAUGACGAGGCACUACGGUGCUGAAGUGACAAAUGCCCUGCUUCCAGGAAAAGCCUCUAAGCAUCAGGUAACAUCAAAUCGUACCCCAAACCGACACAGGUGGUCAGGUAGAGAAUACCAAGGCGCUUGAGAGAACUCGGGUGAAGGAACUAGGCAAAAUGGUGCCGUAACUUCGGGAGAAGGCACGCUGAUGGUAGGUGAAGUGACUUGCUCAUGGAGCUGAAAUCAGUCGAAGAUACCAGCUGGCUGCAACUGUUUAUUAAAAACACAGCACUGUGCAAACACGAAAGUGGACGUAUACGGUGUGACGCCUGCCCGGUGCCGGAAGGUUAAUUGAUGGGGUUAUCCGUAAGGAGAAGCUCUUGAUCGAAGCCCCGGUAAACGGCGGCCGUAACUAUAACGGUCCUAAGGUAGCGAAAUUCCUUGUCGGGUAAGUUCCGACCUGCACGAAUGGCGUAAUGAUGGCCAGGCUGUCUCCACCCGAGACUCAGUGAAAUUGAACUCGCUGUGAAGAUGCAGUGUACCCGCGGCAAGACGGAAAGACCCCGUGAACCUUUACUAUAGCUUGACACUGAACACUGGUCCUUGAUGUGUAGGAUAGGUGGGAGGCUUUGAAGUGUGGACGCCAGUCUGCAUGGAGCCAUCCUUGAAAUACCACCCUUUAAUGGCUGGUGUUCUAACGUGGGCCCCUGAUCGGGGUUGCGGACAGUGUCUGGUGGGUAGUUUGACUGGGGCGGUCUCCUCCUAAAGAGUAACGGAGGAGCACGAAGGUCAGCUAAUCCUGGUCGGACAUCAGGAGGUUAGUGCAAUGGCAUAAGCUGGCUUGACUGCGAGCGUGACGGCGCGAGCAGGUGCGAAAGCAGGUCAUAGUGAUCCGGUGGUUCUGAAUGGAAGGGCCAUCGCUCAACGGAUAAAAGGUACUCCGGGGAUAACAGGCUGAUACCGCCCAAGAGUUCAUAUCGACGGCGGUGUUUGGCACCUCGAUGUCGGCUCAUCACAUCCUGGGGCUGAAGUAGGUCCCAAGGGUAUGGCUGUUCGCCAUUUAAAGUGGUACGCGAGCUGGGUUUAGAACGUCGUGAGACAGUUCGGUCCCUAUCUGCCGUGGGCGCUGGAGAAUUGAGGGGGGCUGCUCCUAGUACGAGAGGACCGGAGUGGACGCAUCACUGGUGUUCGGGUUGUCAUGCCAAUGGCAUUGCCCGGUAGCUAAAUGCGGAAGAGAUAAGUGCUGAAAGCAUCUAAGCACGAAACUUGCCCCGAGAUGAGUUCU
rnacentral:rRNA from 1 species